rnacentral:lncRNA from 1 species
GUGUCUGGAGGUUGCUCCUUGUGGAGUUUCUUGCAAGCCUACAACACUGGGCUAAAUACCUGAAGAAAUCCCAGCUAAGCCAAUUUCCAAUAGAAGAAAGACGUCUACUGGAGUCUUCUGCAGCAAGGCUACCAUUCUUGAGUUCCCCUCUCAAAAGAAUCCAGCGGAAAAGGCAGGAAUUUCAUCAUCUCAGGCAAGCUGCCAGGAAAGAACAAGCUCCCCUCUACUGAAAAAAACACCAAGGACAGAGGAAGUUCAGUUGCUGGGAGACUGCAGCUUUGAGAGCCUUGAAAUUUUAUGUGAUUGAAGAAGAGUUUGGCUGUUUGUUUUUGCUUUCUGGACAUCUGGU